AUGCACGCUGGCGGCGUGCCUAAUACAUGCAAGUCGAGCGAACGGACGAGAAGCUUGCUUCUCUAAUGUUAGCGGCGGACGGGUGAGUAACACGUGGAUAACCUACCUAUAAGACUGGGAUAACUUCGGGAAACCGUAGCUAAUACCGGAUAAUAUUUUGAACCGCAUGGUUCAAAAGUGAAAGACGGUCUUGCUGUCACUUAUAGAUGGAUCCGCGCUGCAUUAGCUAGUUGGUAAGGUAACGGCUUACCAAGGCAACGAUGCAUAGCCGACCUGAGAGGGUGAUCGGCCACACUGGAACUGAGACACGGUCCAGACUCCUACGGGAGGCAGCAGUAGGGAAUCUUCCGCAAUGGGCGAAAGCCUGACGGAGCAACGCCGCGUGAGUGAUGAAGGUCUUCGGAUCGUAAAACUCUGUUAUUAGGGAAGAACAUAUGUGUAAGUAACUGUGCACAUCUUGACGGUACCUAAUCAGAAAGCCACGGCUAACUACGUG
rnacentral:rRNA from 1 species